AGCUGGUGAGUAAAUUACCACCUGGGAUCAGCAUCAGAACUAAAAUAGUAAUCAAAUCACAAAAGGAAGCAGAAAGCAUGAUAAAACAGCAAUGCCUAUCCAGUGGUAGCGGCUUGUGAGGAUGGAAGACCAGAACAGGCCUCGAUGUUCAUAUAUGCCAUGCCAACACAUGCAGAUUGGCGUGAAAGAUAUAUGGCGCAAAUCAUAUUCUCAAAAUCAGUAAAGAACUAGCUUGGCCCAAAACAAAACAAUAGCAACCUGCCUUCCAUAUAAGGAACUUACACUAAAUCUUCCAGACCUUUCCUCGAGUUAUCUAAGAGCUUUGUGCAACAAGGAAACACCAUAAUUCACUCUUUUUCCUAUAAGCUCCGAGUUUCAAAAGUUCUUAAUGGAUUGAAAUGAAACCCCAUAAUGGCCACCUACUAAAUAAAGAUAUUAUAGAUUGAAAUGAAAAACUUCAAUAACCCUAAUCAAUCAAAUUCACCUAAAAACUGAAGUAGAAACGCAUCCAACUCAUCCCUAAACUGUAAACUUCAGGAACCAACAAAAGAAUGAUCCACCGAAA
rnacentral:misc_RNA from 1 species